rnacentral:rRNA from 1 species
GACGAACGCUGGCGGUGUGCUUAACACAUGCAAGUCGAACGGAAAGGCCCUGCUUUUUUGGUGUGAUCGAGGGGCGAACGGGUGCGUAACACGUGAGUAACCUGCCCUUGACUUUGGGAUAACUUCAGGAAACUGAGGCUAAUACCGGACAGGAGCUCCUGCUGCAUGGUGGGGGUUGGAAAGUUUCGGCGGUUGGGGAUGGACUCGCGGCUUAUCAGCUUGUUGGUGGGGUAGUGGCUUACCAAGGCUUUGACGGGUAGCCGGCCUGAGAGGGUGACCAGCCACAUGGGGACUGAGGUACGGCCCAGACUCGUACGUGAGGCAGCAGUGGGGAAUAUUGCACAGUGAGCGGAAGCCUGAUGCAGCAACGCCGCGUGCGGGAUGACGGCCUUCUGGUUGUAAACCGCUUCCGGCUGUGACGAAGCGUGAGUGACGGUAAUGGAUAAAGAAGCACCGGCUAACUACGUG